CCUACGGGUGGCAGCAGUGGGGAAUAUUGGGCAAUGGACGCAAGCCUGACCCAGCAACGCCGCGUGAAGGAAGAAGGCUCUCGGGUUUGAAACCUCUUUUUAUAGGGACGUAGCAAGUGACGGGACCUGAGGAAUGAGCCACGGCUAACUACGAGCCAGCAGCCGCGGUAAUACGUAGGUGGCGAGCGUUAUGCGGAUUUAUUGGGUGUAAAGGGCGUGUAGGCGGGACUGCAAGUCAGAUGUGAAAGCAACGGGCUCAACCUGUAGACUGCAUUUGAAACUGUAGUUCUUGAGUACUGGAGAGGCGGGCGGAAUUCCUGGUGUAGCGGUGAAAUGCGUAGAUAUUAGGAAGAACACCGGUGGCGAAGGCGG
rnacentral:rRNA from 1 species